CCUCCUCUGUGUGGACGUGCAAAUAUCUUGGCAUCUUGUGGAUGUGAGAGCUCUUCUUCAUACAGGAUGUGUGCUUCUGCAGCUAAAGUGAAAGUAAGACAGACCAGGAAACGCUGAGACAUUGUGCGUGAGGCUGGACUGUUGGAUUUAUGAAAACAUCAACCUCCCAACACAGAGAGAAACCCACUAAACUUCACUGAAGGAUAAGAAGCUGUCACUGUGCCAUACAGGUAAAUCACCACCAAAGUUACUGAACAGCUG